rnacentral:rRNA from 1 species
UACGGGGGGAGCAAGCGUUGUUCGGAUUUACUGGGCGUAAAGGGCGCGUAGGCGGCGUGACAAGUCACUUGUGAAAUCUCCGGGCUUAACUCGGAACGGUCAAGUGAUACUGUCGUGCUAGAGUACAGAAGGGGCAACUGGAAUUCUCGGUGUAGCGGUGAAAUGCGUAGAUAUCGAGAGGAACACCUGCGGCGAAGGCGGGUUGCUGGGCUGAUACUGACACUGAGGAACGAAAGCCAGGGGAGCAAACGGG